CCGCUGACGGCGGCGGGUGGCCGGCGUGCUGCGCACGGGACUCUCCAGUCCUCAGCUCAAAUGGACUGUCUCUCUCGCCCGACGAGCCGGGCUCCUACCUGGCCGCCUUCAACCGACAGCGCCCCAAGGCCAAGGACCUCGCCAAGUAUGGCUACGCCAGUCUGCAUACCAGCCGACUCAUCUCGAAAAGGUACAACCUGGCCCGCCAGCACAUGGUGCAGGCUGCAGGAGGUGUCGG